rnacentral:rRNA from 1 species
UACAGAGACUGCAAGCGUUAUUCGGAUUCACUGGGCGUAAAGGGUGCGCAGGCGGUCGUGUGUGUCAGGUGUGAAAUCCCGGAGCUUAACUCCGGAACUGCGCCUGAAACUACACGACUAGAGCAUUGGAGAGGGAAGUGGAAUUCAUGGUGUAGCAGUGAAAUGCGUAGAUAUCAUGAGGAACACCAGAGGCGAAGGCGACUUCCUGGACAAUUGCUGACGCUCAGGCACGAAAGCAUGGGGAGCAAAAGGG